AGAGAGGGAAAGAAAAAUCUGGAAGUUGUGUGCGACCUCUGAACCUUCUGCCAUUCUCGACCUCUGAUCCUUCUUCUUCGUUCCUUGCCGCCGCCGACGAGGCAGACGAGUUGCCGUGAGGUCGCUGUCGCUAUGCGAUGCCCAGGUUGCCAGCGCUGCAAACGUGGACUGUGAUCGUCCACUGUUAGCAGUCCCAGUCAUGAAUCCAUAGUUCUUCACUCUGCCAUCGAUCUCUGCACCUCUCUUCACUGUUUGUGCUGUUGAAGUUUCUCCUUCUUCCUGCAUCCUUCCCAUUCAUAGUGUAGCUGAUGCUGAAUCAUCUACUGAACAUUGAGGAGUUUGUGAUUGAUUAGAAGUGGAGGAGCUAAGGGUCAAACUUUCUCUUGACGUAAAGUUUUAAUUAUGAAAUUUUAUUUUGUAAACUUAUUGUUAGAUGCUCCACAUAGUCUAUGGUCAAGUUGUU